UUAUCACGGGAGACACACGGCGGGUGCUAACGUCCGUCGUGAAGAGGGAAACAACCCAGACCGCCAGCUAAGGUCCCAAAGUCAUGGUUAAGUGGGAAACGAUGUGGGAAGGCCCAGACAGCCAGGAUGUUGGCUUAGAAGCAGCCAUCAUUUAAAGAAAGCGUAAUAGCUCACUGGUCGAGUCGGCCUGCGCGGAAGAUGUAACGGGGCUAAACCAUGCACCGAAGCUGCGGCAGCGAACGUAUCACUUAAAGCGAUUCAGCGGGUUACGAUUGACGGAGCGAAGCGACGUCAAAGCGUAUACAAAGUCGAGUCGGUUUAAGGAUACGUUCGUUGGGUAGGGGAGCGUUCUGUAAGCCCGUGAAGGUGGCCUGUGAGGGUUGCUGGAGGUAUCAGAAGUGCGAAUGCUGACAUAAGUAACGAUAAAGCGGGUGAAAAGCCCGCUCGCCGGAAGACCAAGGGUUCCUGUCCAACGUUAAUCGGGGCAGGGUGAGUCGACCCCUAAGGCGAGGCCGAAAGGCGUAGUCGAUGGGAAACGGGUUAAUAUUCCCGUACUUGGUGUUACUGCGAAGGGGGGACGGAGAAGGCUAUGUUGGCCGGGCGACGGUUGUCCCGGUUUAAGCGUGUAGGUGUGUGUUCCAGGUAAAUCCGGUUCACUUUAACACUGAGGCGUGAUGACGAGGCACUACGGUGCUGAAGCAACAAAUGCCCUGCUUCCAGGAAAAGCCUCUAAGCAUCAGGUAACAUCAAAUCGUACCCCAAACCGACACAGGUGGUCAGGUAGAGAAUACCAAGGCGCUUGAGAGAACUCGGGUGAAGGAACUAGGCAAAAUGGUGCCGUAACUUCGGGAGAAGGCACGCUGACACGUAGGUGAAGUGAUUUACUCACGGAGCUGAAGUCAGUCGAAGAUACCAGCUGGCUGCAACUGUUUAUUAAAAACACAGCACUGUGCAAACACGAAAGUGGACGUAUACGGUGUGACGCCUGCCCGGUGCCGGAAGGUUAAUUGAUGGGGUCAGCGCAAGCGAAGCUCCUGAUCGAAGCCCCGGUAAACGGCGGCCGUAACUAUAACGGUCCUAAGGUAGCGAAAUUCCUUGUCGGGUAAGUUCCGACCUGCACGAAUGGCGUAAUGA
rnacentral:rRNA from 1 species